GGUAGUCCACGCCGUAAACGAUGCUAACUCGUUUUUGGGUCUUUAAGAUUCAGAGACUAAGCGAAAGUGAUAAGUUAGCCACCUGGGGAGUACGUUCGCAAGAAUGAAACUCAAAGGAAUUGACGGGGGCCCGCACAAGCGGUGGAUUAUGUGGUUUAAUUCGAUGAUACGCGAGGAACCUUACCAAGGCUUAAAUGGGAAAUGACAGGUUUAGAAAUAGACUUUUCUUCGGACAUUUUUCAAGGUGCUGCAUGGUUGUCGUCAGCUCGUGCCGUGAGGUGUUAGGUUAAGUCCUGCAACGAGCGCAACCCCUGUCACUAGUUGCCAUCAUUAAGUUGGGGACUCUAGUGAGACUGCCUACGCAAGUAGAGAGGAAGGUGGGGAUGACGUCAAAUCAUCACGGCCCUUACGCCUUGGGCCACACACGUAAUACAAUGGCCAGUACAGAGGGCAGCUACACAGCGAUGUGAUGCAAAUCUCGAAAGCUGGUCUCAGUUCGGAUUGGAGUCUGCAACUCGACUCUAUGAAGCUGGAA
rnacentral:rRNA from 1 species